rnacentral:lncRNA from 1 species
AGCUGGUCUAUUAACCGAAGGUCAUUUACCAGGAGAACUGAAAGAGGAAGUUACUUUCGAAUUUGAUAAGUAAAGAAAUGGCGUAAAUUUGCCCGAUUUAGGUACAUGUCCAGCUUAUCUUUUACCAUCAUUUUUUCCCUAAUAUGUGGAAUAUGUCAUUAGUGGUCUAACUGAAAUUUUAUAUCCAUCUAUCCUGGAAAAUAUUUCUCAUCACCUGCCUCAGAGCAAGUUGGUUGAAGGAAGGUAUAUUUUUUGCCGAGUUUGAUUAUCCAAAUAUUGUUGUCAGUUCCAAAAAAUGGGAACUUUCAUUGCUCUUUUGAUCUAUUGUAGAGGAGGUAUGGAGUUUUCUGAUUGAGGAGGAGCCAAAUGUUCAUUGAUUCUGAUUUUUCUCUUCCCUAAAUUGGAUGUAAACUUUCAGAAGAGAUAACUGAGGGUUGUAGUUUGAUUUUUGUUAAUUUCUUGUUAAUGGGAAAUUGUACAUUUAACACUGGAUAUGGGAAUUAAAACUUUGAGG